rnacentral:rRNA from 1 species
GCUUCUACGGGAGUCAGCAGUGAGGAAUAUUGGACAAUGGAGGCAACUGUGAUCCAGCCAUAUCGAGUCCAGGAAGACGCCCGUAUGGUUUGUAAACUGCUUUAAUACAGGAAGAAACGUUAGUAAGUGUACUAGCCUGUCGGUGCUGUAAGAAUAAGGAUGGAUUAAGUCCGUGCCAGCAGCCGCCGUCAUACGGAGGAUUCAAGCGUUUUCCGGAAUCAUCGGGUUUAAAGGGUCCGUAGGCGUUCUUAUAAGUCAGAGGUGAUAUCCUAUCGCUCAACGAUAGUCCUGCCUUAGAUACCGUUAGACUUGAGUUAUUGUGAAGUAGUUAGAAUGGGUAGGGUAGCGGUGAAAUGCAUAGAUAUUCCACAGAAUCCCGAUGAAGAAGGCAGAUUACUACCAAUAUCCUGACGCUCAGGGACGAAAGCGUGGGUAGCGAACGGGAUUAGAUACCCCGGUAGUCCACGCUGUAACCGACGGUCACCAGCUGUUUGAUGCACAUUGGUGUGUUGAGUGGCUAAGCGAAAGUGAUAAGUGUCCCACCUGGGGAGUACGCUCGCAAGAAUGAAACUCAAAGGAAUUGACGG